rnacentral:piRNA from 1 species
UGGGCUUAGCUAGGCAAGUGUGGAUUGGU